GAUGAACGCUGGCGGCGUGCCUAAUACAUGCAAGUCGAGCGAACGGACGAGAAGCUUGCUUCUCUGAUGUUAGCGGCGGACGGGUGAGUAACACGUGGAUAACCUCCCUAUAAUACUGGGAUAACUUCGGGACACCGUAGCUAAUACCGGAUAAUAUUUUGAACCGCAUGGUUCAAAAGUGAAAGACGGUCUUGCUGUCACUUAUAGCUGGAUCCGCGCUGCAGUAGCUAGUUGGUAAGGUAACGGCUUACCAAGGCAACGAUGCAUAGCCGACCUGAGAGGGUGAUCGGCGACACUGGAACUGAGACACGGUCCAGACUACUACGGGAGGCAGCAGUAGGGAAUCUUCCGCAAUGGGCGAAAGCCUGACGGAGCGACGCGGCGUGAGUGAUGAAGGUCUUCGGAGCGUAAAACUCGGUUAUUAGGGAAGAACAUAUGUGUAAGUAACUGUGCACAUCGUGACGGUACCUAAUCAGAAAGCCACGGCUAACUACGUG
rnacentral:rRNA from 1 species